AUUGAACGCUGGCGGCAUGCUUUACACAUGCAAGUCGAACGGUAACAGGCCGCAAGGUGCUGACGAGUGGCGAACGGGUGAGUAAUGCAUCGGAACGUGCCCAGUCGUGGGGGGUAACGCAGCGAAAGCUGCGCUAAUACCGCAUACGAUCUAUGGAUGAAAGCGGGGGACCGUAAGGCCUCGCGCGAUUGGAGCGGCCGAUGUCAGAUUAGGUAGUUGGUGGGGUAAAUGCCCACCAAGCCAACGAUCUGUAGCUGGUCUGAGAGGACGACCAGCCACACUGGGACUGAGACAUGGCCCAGACUCCUACGGGAGGCAGCAGUGGGGAAUUUUGGAAAAUGGGCGCAAGCCUGAUCCAGCAAUGCCGCGUGCAGGAAGAAGGCCUUCGGGUUGUAAACUGCUUUUGUACGGAACGAAACGGUCUGGGUUAAUACCUCGGGCUAAUGACGGUACCGUAGGAAUAAGCACCGGCUAACUACGUGCCAGCCGCCGCUGUAAAAC
rnacentral:rRNA from 1 species